rnacentral:antisense_RNA from 1 species
UGCCUGGAGUGAAGAUUCUGCCCAUUGGUCAAGAGACCUCCCUCUCAGAUGCUGGCUCUGCCCCUGCCUUUGGGGGUCGACCCUUGUACUCGCAGGACCUUAGGUGACUCUAUUCUACUUCUCUGAUCAUCCAGGAAGCCAACCUGCCUGAGGACGAGUCAUACUCUGUCCUCCCACCCCAGGCCAGAGAGUGGUAUCUGUCUGUCCACAAGUUCUUGAUGCAGAUGAGCAGGUAACCAUGGAAGUCGUGAGCUGAGGCUGCAGAGUCUAGAGCCAGAGUGUGGAAUAAACUUGGGUCUCAAAUCACCCCUGGAGCAAAGCCCCCAUCUAAUCAGGAACUUCUACUUUCAACUUUACAUGCGUGAGAAAUGAACUUCUAUCAUGUUAGAGAAAUCCUUACACGGCGCCCUUGAGAGCUUUCAUACUGCAAGUCAUCCA